GAUGAACGCUGGCGGCGUGCUUAACACAUGCAAGUCGAACGAUGAAGCCCAGCUUGCUGGGUGGAUUAGUGGCGAACGGGUGAGUAACACGUGAGUAACCUGCCCUUAACUCUGGGAUAAGCCUGGGAAACUGGGUCUAAUACCGGAUAGGAGCGUCCACCGCAUGGUGGGUGUUGGAAAGAUUUAUCGGUUUUGGAUGGACUCGCGGCCUAUCAGCUUGUUGGUGAGGUAAUGGCUCACCAAGGCGACGACGGGUAGCCGGCCUGAGAGGGGGACCGGCCACACUGGGACUGAGACACGGCCCAGACUCCUACGGGAGGCAGCAGUGGGGAAUAUUGCACAAUGGGCGCAAGCCUGAUGCAGCGACGCCGCGUGAGGGAUGACGGCCUUCGGGUUGUAAACCUCUUUCAGUAGGGAAGAAGCGAAAGUGACGGUACCUGCAGAAGAAGCACCGGCUAACUACGUGCCAGCCGCCGCGGUAACAC
rnacentral:rRNA from 1 species